UGGCCGUUUUCGUUGU
rnacentral:misc_RNA from 1 species